GCCCCCGUAGCCCAAUGGGAAGAGGCAACGCGCUCAGAACGCGUCCAGUCCAGGUUCGAAUCCUGGUGGGGGUACCA
rnacentral:tRNA from 1 species